GGUGGGAUACCCAAGUGGCCAACGGGGGCAGACUGUAAAUCUGCUGGCUAUGCCUUCACUGGUUCGAAUCCAGUUCCCACCACCA
rnacentral:tRNA from 1 species